rnacentral:rRNA from 1 species
UACAGAGGUCUCAAGCGUUGUUCGGAUUCAUUGGGCGUAAAGGGUGCGUAGGCGGCGCGGUAAGUCGGGUGUGAAAUCUCGGAGCUUAACUCCGAAACUGCAUUCGAUACUGCCGUGCUUGAGGACUGGAGAGGAGACUGGAAUUCCUGGUGUAGCGGUGAAAUGCGCAGAUAUCAGGAAGAACACCCGUGGCGAAGGCGGCUCUCUGGAACGCAACUGACGCUGAGACGCGAAAGCGUGGGGAGCAAACAGG